UGGGGAAUCUUGGACAAUGGGGGCAACCCUGAUCCAGCCAUGCCGCGUGAGUGAUGAAGGCCUUAGGGUCGUAAAGCUCUUUCGCCUGUGAAGAUAAUGACGGUAGCAGGUAAAGAAACCCCGGCUAACUCCGUGCCAGCAGCCGCGGUAAUACGGAGGGGGUUAGCGUUGUUCGGAAUUACUGGGCGUAAAGCGCACGUAGGCGGACCAGAAAGUUGGGGGUGAAAUCCCGGGGGCUCAACCCCGGAACUGCCUCCAAAACUAUUGGUCUAGAGUUCGAGAGAGGUGAGUGGAAUUCCAAGUGUAGAGGUGAAAUUCGUAGAUAUUUGGAGGAACACCAGUGGCGAAGGCGGCUCACUGGCUCGAUACUGACGCUGAGGUGCGAAAGUGUGGGGAGCAAAACAGGAUUAGAUACCCCUGGUAGUCCACACCGUAAAACGAUGAAUGCCAGUCGUCGGGGUAGCAUGCUAUUCGGUGACACACCUAACGGAUUAAGCAUUCCGCCUGGGGAGUACGGUCGCAAGAUU
rnacentral:rRNA from 1 species